CUGUGAGAUGGAAAAGAUGCAGAAAGGAAGACACCGUUGACUCGACCAAGAAACUGGAAUCACUGGUUUCCUCUUUGACUUGUCUCCGAUGGAGUUGACCAGGGUGUUGGGUCCCAGGAUGAUGCGGGUGCUCUGGGGCCACUGUGUGCACACCAGACUGUGCUCCCCCAGCAGGAUCUUACGGAUGUUUUCAGCACCCGUCACUCGGACCAAGGGCUUCCCGAGGAGAUGGGUCUUAAAAACGUUGCCAUGACGUUCUCGACGUGAAAUGUGGAAAUUAGAGCCCUGAAGAACAAGAAAGUGACAGAUAAAGUCAUUUCCCGAGGAUUGAGUAAAAGGUCAAAGUUCACCUGGAAGAGCCAGUGGAAGGUCUCUCCCACCAUAGGCCAGCCCAUGGAGCCUCUGGGCAGUGGCAGAGAACUGGUCUUGUCCCGAGUCAAGGUCCAGCGC